rnacentral:sRNA from 1 species
GACUGCUUGUGAGGGUUGGAGGUCACGAAGGAAAGACCCGGCUCGCGCCUGCACACAGUAGGUGCUCACAUCAAUGACGUCAUUCCCACUCCUGACGUCCUCAUGUCAAGGUCUGGGAAGAUACCUGGAGGUUUUGAUUGGGGUCUCGGUGGCCUUCGUCCUGCUGCUCUUCCUCCUCCUCUUCCUCCUCCUCCGACGUCAGCGUCACAGCAAACACAGGACAUCUGACCAGAGAAAGACUGAUUUCCAGCGUCCUGCAGGGGCUGCGGAGACAGAGCCCAAGGACAGGGGCCUGCUGAGGAGGUAAUUCUGCCCAAAGACCACAGACUCCCACCCACUGCAGCCCAUACACUGCCCCUCACACUCCCAUGUCCUCCCCCAGGUCCGGCCCAGCUGCUGACGUCCAGGAAGAAAACCUCUGUAAGAGGAAGAGAGGGGACAAAUGGGGGUGCUGGAGAGACAGGAGUCCC